GACGAACGCUGGCGGCGUGCCUAAUACAUGCAAGUAGAACGCUGAAGGAGGAGCUUGCUUCUCUGGAUGAGUUGCGAACGGGUGAGUAACGCGUAGGUAACCUGCCUGGUAGCGGGGGAUAACUAUUGGAAACGAUAGCAAAUACCGCAUAAGAGUAGAUGUUGCAUGACAUUUGCUUAAAAGGUGCAAUUGCAUCACUACCAGAUGGACCUGCGUUGUAUUAGCUAGUUGGUGGGGUAACGGCUCACCAAGGCGACGAUACAUAGCCGACCUGAGAGGGUGAUCGGCCACACUGGGACUGAGACACGGCCCAGACUCCUACGGGAGGCAGCAGUAGGGAAUCUUCGGCAAUGGACGGAAGUCUGACCGAGCAACGCCGCGUGAGUGAAGAAGGUUUUCGGAUCGUAAAGCUCUGUUGUAAGAGAAGAACGAGUGUGAGAGUGGAAAGUUCACACUGUGACGGUAUCUUACCAGAAAGGGACGGCUAACUACGUG
rnacentral:rRNA from 1 species